UACGGUGCCUUUUUUUGUGGCAAAGGAGUGCGCUCGCACGUGAACGGAAUGAUACGGCGAGUAAGACAGAGAGCCGUGAUAACUUACCUUUCAGCUGCACCAUGUCGACAUUGUGCUCAAAAUGAAAAAAUUUUAUGAUAGAUAUAACGUUUAAUUACCAAGUUAAUAGAUCUACUUUUGAAGGACAGUUGGGAUGCAGAUGAUUUGCCACCAAGUAAUAAAAUAGUGUUGUCCUGCGGCGAAUAAGAAACUUCUCGGUAAAGUCAGACCUCUUUGUCACCGAAAUAUAAACGACCGAAUAUACGUAACAGCAAAACCCAAGAACGAUAGAAUCGAGAGUAAUGUGACGUCUCCGCUGAGUAGCUAAUCCUAAAAAAAGCUAUCUCUUGUUGCCACGAACGUAUAACACUGCCGCACUCUCGAGACUGAAUGGCAUUCUUCAUAUUUCGUAUCACGAAAUCAACGAUAGAAAAUCCCAAACGCAUACAAAACAUCGCAUAAAACGAAGCAAUAAGCGAACCGGAAAAAUUCACUUGUGCAAAUUCACUACCGUCAGCAAUUUUUAUCAGGCUUUUGUAUGUACAUUGUACGUUGGAUUAUUUUUCGUGGAUAAACUAGAAGCAGAAUAUAAAUCAUAUCGCUCUACGUCAGUCUUCGAUGAACAAAGUUUAUCUUUGAACGUUGGAUUUCGUACAAAAAACAAGAUUGAUGGAAAAAUGAGAAGAAUCGGUACAACGUUUCAACAUCUAUCUCUCCGAACGCAACACUGUGACAGUUCAUGCUAAAACGACCGAAACGAACCUGAAAUCGCGUAUGGAUCAUGAUGCAUUCUUCAUGUCAGUGAGUCGACAUGCACCGCCGUGAUCGUGUAGUUCUCUUUUUCCCGCAACACCGGACGAUUAAGCGUUACGCAAGUCCGUAAGAACGCGAGGAACUCGCACGUGACUUGCUUUGGAGAACGACAUAUGGAGAUAAAUCGGAAGGCUAUGUUGCUCCUCGAAUUCACUUCGAGGUUCCUUGAGAUUGACAUUUCUCCAAAGGAGAACAGUAAUCGAGCGAGUAAUCAACAAGUACAGUUAACAAUAGUAUUCACUCUCGUUUAAAAAGAAGAGAAAGAAAGAAGAAAUUUUUAUUGAAAAAUUUAAAAAAUUUAAGAAAAUACCGUAACUA